rnacentral:rRNA from 1 species
AUGGAACGGAAGAGGCACCCAGCCUGUCUAUCGAGGGGAUGGCAAAGGCGCAUGGCGCGGCGGCGGCUCUACCCCCCGACGGCGGGUACACUUCGGACACGCACGACGAGGGCCGGCCGCAAGAAAAAGAAGGAGAUGGCAGACGAUUCGCCGCCACCGACCAAGGUCCCAAACCAGUGGGUCGCCACAACUCCCUGA